AUAUAUAUAUCAACCUCUCUUGUUGAGUGGUUUGGAUGUGGGGGGAUUUUUGCUGGCCUGUUCAGCUCCUCUGAAAUGCAUUAGCAGAACAACCUGUUCAUUGGUGUGAUAACUAUCUACGCUAUUGAACGUGUGGGGCAGUUCAGCUUUCUAAUGGUCCUUUGGACAAAUAUUUAUCAUUU
rnacentral:misc_RNA from 1 species